rnacentral:lncRNA from 13 species
GAACAGGAACUCCCCCGUCCUUCCUUUCAAAAACUGUGACCAGAAGAUAAUCUGAUGAUUGUACCUCAUCUCUCAAGGCUGGGCACUCCUCCUCUGUCAGUUUUUCAGAUGCCAAGAUGCUUCUUUUACAUCUUAGGAUCAUGGUGGUUUGUAAACAGAUGGAUCUUACAGUGAUCGAUGAU